CCUACGGGAGGCAGCAGUGGGGAAUAUUGCGCAAUGGGCGAAAGCCUGAACCAGCCAAGUAGCGUGAAGGAUGACUACCCUAUGGGUUGUAAACUUCUUUUAUAUUGGAAUAAAAUGUUCCACGUGUGGGAUUUUGUAUGUACCAUAUGAAUAAGGAUCGGAUAACUCCGUGCCAGCAGCCGGGGUAAUACGGAGGAUCCGAGCGUUAUCCGGAUUUAUUGGGUUAAAAGGGAGCGUAGGUGGAUUGUUAAGUCAGUUGUGAAAGUUUGCGGCUCAACCGUAAAAUUGCAGUUGAAACUGGCAGUCUUGAGUACAGUAGAGGUGGGCGGAAUUCGUGGUGUAGCGGUGAAAUGCUUAGAUAUCACGAAGAACUCCGAUUGCGAAGGCAGUUCACUGGACUGCAACUGACACUGAGGCUCGAAAGUGUGGGUAUCAAACAGGAUUAGAUACGUAGUC
rnacentral:rRNA from 1 species